GAUGAACGCUGGCGGCGUGCUUAACACAUGCAAGUCGAACGAGAAAUGGAGACGGAAACCUUCGGGCGGAAGGCUUCAUUUCGAGUGGCGGACGGGUGAGUAACGCGUGGGUAACCUGCCUCAUACAGGGGGAUAACAGUUGGAAACGACUGUUAAUACCGCAUAAGACCACAGCACCGCAUGGUGCGGGGGUAAAAACUCCGGUGGUAUGAGAUGGACCCGCGUUCGAUUAGCCAGUUGGCGGGGUAACGGCCCACCAAAGCGACGAUCGAUAGCCGAUCUGAGAGGAUGACCGGCCGCAUUGGGACUGAGACACGGCCCAAACUCCUACGGGAGGCAGCAGUGGGGAAUAUUGCACAAUGGGGGAAACCCUGAUGCAGCGACGCCGCGUGAGUGAAGAAGUACUUCGGUAUGUAAAGCUCUAUCAGCAGGGAAGAAAAUGACGGUACCUGAGUAAGAAGCCCCGGCUAACUACGUG
rnacentral:rRNA from 1 species